GAGAGGCGGGACUUGAUUAUACCACGUGAUCAUCCUCGCGGACAGCGCGGCUGUGCGGGCGGAGAGCUGUCGAUCCCAGUGAUUAAUGCCAAAGCCCUGUUGCCUGGGGAGAGGGUGAUGUUUGACUUUCUUGUACAGCUGCAGUUUGUGUGGUGAGGGUGCUCCCACAAUGUGGUUGGGAUGAGGCUGUCACUGGCUCGGCCAGCAUUUAUUGCUGCGUUUACCCAGAGGGCAGUUAAGAAUCAACCACGUUGCUAUAGGUCUGGAGUCCCAUGCAGACCAGACCAGAUCCCAGUGAUCAGUGCCAAAGCCCCAUUGCCUGUGGAGAGGGUGAUGUUUGAUUUCCCUGUCCAGCUGCAGUUCAUGUGGUGAAGGUGCUCCCACAAUGUGGUUGGGUGGACAUUCAGAUGGUAAUCUCAGUAAUUGUAACGCCAAACUGUGACAAAAUUACUCAAUUCAUCAGGAGCUGGAU